AGGGAAUAAUUUGACUUUUCCAAGUAUAUAGUUGGAAAACAUAAAUUGUUCACCUAUGAUAGAUUAUUAUUUUGGUAUGUUCUUUUCAUUUCCAAGUAAAUGAUCAAAUAAAGAGAAAAGGUUAACAUGACAUCCUCGCGUGAAGAUGAUUUUCUGACAUUUAUUCAAGAGUGGAAAUAACGUGACUUUCCUAAUUCUAUAGUUGAGAAAACAUUUUCAAAAGUACGCAUGUUCUUGGUUUGGCGUUAAAAUCAAUUAUAUGAUUUUUCCAACACUUGCCUAUUUGUUAAUGAGAAGGAAUAAUGUGACUUUCUAGAUUAUAAAGUUGGAGAACAUUUAAUUUGGUACGCAUAAGGUUCAUUUGGUGUUAGAAGCCCAUUUGGUAAUUUAUUGGAACCUAGAUAUAUUUUUUCUGGAUUUAUUUGAGGUUCCUGUGCUAUAAAACCUAUUGAAAUAUUUUAUUUCAUGAGGAAAUUACUUUCUUGCGUUCUAAACAGUUAAUUAGCAUUCCUGGAAUUUUCUGAAAUUUUUCUGAAUCCGUUUGGUAUUUUAUUUGCCUUAUGUGAAUUUCUGACCAUUUAGAGACCCAGAGAAGUUAUUUCUUUUAUUUCAUUUUCUAUUUCUUCCGCGGAGUACGUUUUCUUUGCGAGGAGGCGUAUUCUACUGAAACCCAUCUCCACUUAAGUGUAGCGAAGAGGUAUCUUCUAAUCUCAACCAUUCAUCUCUCGUCCAACGGCCCAUCUCUCUCUUUUUUUUCCUUUCUUUUCUUUUCUUUUUCUCUUUUUCUCUCUUUCUUCUUUUUUCCUCACGUGGCUGCCCAGCCCGUGCUCUUCUUCCUGGCUGCACAGCGCCAUGGCCAAGCCAGCCCCGGCCGCUGCUGCUCUCCGGCGACCCCUGCCGCCCAACGCUGCCCUG
rnacentral:lncRNA from 1 species